rnacentral:rRNA from 1 species
GACAGAGGGUGCAAGCGUUGUUCGGAAUUACUGGGCGUAAAGCGCGUGUAGGCUGCUUCGCAAGUCGGAUGUGAAAGCCCUGGGCUCAACCUAGGAAGUGCAUUCGAAACUGCGAAGCUGGAGUCCUGGAGAGGAAGGCGGAAUUCUCGGUGUAGAGGUGAAAUUCGUAGAUAUCGAGAGGAACACCGGUGGCGAAGGCGGCCUUCUGGACAGUGACUGACGCUGAGGUGCGAAAGCGUGGGGAGCAAACAGG